CCUACGGGCGGCAGCAGUCGAGAAUCAUUCACAAUGGGGGAAACCCUGAUGGUGCGACGCCGCGUGGGGGAAUGAAGGUCUUCGGAUUGUAAACCCCUGUCAUGUGGGAGCAAAUUAAAAAGAUAGUACCACAAGAGGAAGAGACGGCUAACUCUGUGCCAGCAGCCGCGGUAAUACAGAGGUCUCAAGCGGUGUUCGGAAUCACUGGGCGUAAAGCGUGCGUAGGCUGUUUCGUAAGUCGUGUGUGAAAGGUGCGGGCUCAACCCGCGGACGGCACAUGAUACUGCGGGACUAGAGUAAUGGAGGGGGAACCGGAAUUCUCGGUGUAGCAGUGAAAUGCGUAGAUAUCGAGAGGAACACUCGUGGCGAAGGCGGGUUCCUGGACAUUAACUGACGCUGAGGCACGAAGGCCAGGGGAGCGAAAGGGAUUAGAUACCCUUGUAGUC
rnacentral:rRNA from 1 species